CCCAGACUCCUACGGGAGGCAGCAGUGGGGAAUAUUGCACAAUGGGGGAAACCCUGAUGCAGCGACGCCGCGUGAGUGAAGAAGUAAUUCGUUAUGUAAAGCUCUCUCAGCAGGGAAGAAAAUGACGGUACCUGAGUAAGAAGCCCCGGCUAACUACGUGCCAGCAGCCGCGGUAAUACGUAGGGGGCAAGCGUUAUCCGGAUUUACUGGGUGUAAAGGGAGCGUAGACGGCAGUGCAAGUCUGGGGUGAAAGCCCGGGGCCCAACCCCGGGACUGCGCCGGAAACUGCGUCGCUGGAGUACGGGAGGGGCAGGCGGAAUUCCUGGUGUAGCGGUGAAAUGCGUAGAUAUCAGGAGGAGCACCGGCGGCGAAGGCGGCCUGCUGGACCGUGACUGACGUUGAGGCUCGAGAGCGUGGGGAGCAACCAGGAUUAGAUACCCGCGUAAU
rnacentral:rRNA from 1 species